UGGCCCGAGGCGAGCCUGGCUGAGCGGAGGCCGCUCCCUCCCCGCUGGCCCGUCUCCGCUUUUCUCGGAGCUCGAGUCUCGGCCCGGGACCGCCUGCCUCUGGACACGAGCGCGACCAACUUGAAUGGAACAGCUUACAGCUUUGUUGAGAAGACUAAUACGUGAAGCAGUUGAAGAACCAUGUAAAGGGGCGAGGUCCUGGUGAAAAGACUUGCAGUGAUGCAGGAAUUAAAACAAGGGAAAUAAUCUUUGUGCCUGCAGAGGUUUGGAAGCAUGUAUGAAGAUGAUAGGACUUGAAAGUAGGAAGAGGGAAAACAGUGGGGUUUUGGAAGAUCAGGUGCAUCAUAUUGAUUUAUCACCCUCUUACCUGGUGGUUGGGGAUAUUCAUGCCUAGGGCAUGAAUUCUAGAAAUUGAGCAUCUCAAACUAUGAAGAAAAUAGAAGCUUAAUAAAUGCCUAUUAAGAGCCCUUCACAUUCUUAUAAGACCUACAUAUUCUCAGUCUCUUCAGCAGUAAGUCGUAAGUCAUUCUGUAGCCCCACAGCUCCCCUGGUCCCCUUCCUGGAGACAUACUCCAACUUGUCACUACCCUUCCUAUAAUGUGACUGUGAACUAACACUACUCCAGAUAGGACUCUUAAGAUUGGUACCUCCUGUAUUUUUGUUAUGCAGGUUGGAGGACAUUAUUUUAUUUGAGCAUGUCUGUGUGUAUAAAAUUUAUGAAUUAUAUGCAUUUACCACUCUACUAAUAUGUGCACUAUAAAACAAAUUUGAAAAGAAUCUUUUUUAAAAUAGGUGAUUUUGUACAUCAAUGGUGUAAAAACCUUUUUACUCACUAAGUUAUCAUUACAAUAAUUUUUAGUGAAAACAAGUUAAUUGCUUCAUUAUUUUUGAAAUCUUGUUUUAAUACUGUGAUGCAUUGAUUCAGAGGUCUUAUUCUGGUAUUUUAAUGACUGCCAUAGCUGAAAAAAAAAUCACAAAAAAAUACUUAAUGUCAACUGGAUGGAACAAAGUAAAACCUUGGUUCAGUCCUUUAUCACCUGUAGCAAAGAUUGCUACAAUGGCUUACUAAUUAGUGUGCCCCUAGCCUUUACUUCAAUCCAUCCUGCUCUUGCAUGCUUGCCAAAGUGAGUUUCCUUAGACAUAGAUUUGGUCAAGUCACUUACUUACUCAAUAAACUCUGUUGCCUCUAGGAUCAAAUAUAAACUCUAGCUUUUAACACCCCUCACAGCUUGACCUCAACUGAUCUUUUCCUCCUCACUGUGCAUUAUUCCUCCUCAAAACACUCUGGAGUCCAUCUAAACUGGCUGCCCCACUAUCCUUCCCAUGGUACAUACAUCUACCUGCCUUUGUACUGGCCAUCCUCCAUUCCCAGAAUGCACAGUCUCCCCACCACCAUCUCUUAGAGCUGCAGUACCACCAUUCAUCUAUGCUUGUUGUCUCCCCCUCCUCCACCCCCACCCCCACCCCCACCAGUAGAUUGUAAGCUCCUUGAAAAUAGGAAUUGUCUUAAUAUCCUCAGUACCCAGAACAUUGCCUCAUGAAGAGUAGGCCCUUAAUAAAUGUUUGUUGGUUAAUGUGUAGCUCCAUGUGGAAAAAGUGCAUUAUUGACUUUGCGUAUAAAUCUUGGUAUUCAUUUUUCAAAUUCAUUUACCAACAUGUUGACUGAAAUGUGUCUAAUAAAGUUGCAUUUUACUUGG